rnacentral:rRNA from 1 species
AUUGAACGCUGGCGGCAGGACUAACACAUGCAAGUCGAGCGAGAGGCGGACGGGUGAGUAAUGUCUGGGGAUCUGACUGAUAGCGGGGGAGCAAUACUGGAAACGGUGGCUAAUACCGCAUACUAACGGAUGAACCCAGAGGGGAUUAGCUAGUGGGUGGGGUAAAGGAUCACCGAGGCGACGAUCCCGAGCUGGUCUGAGAGGCUGAUCAGCUGCACUGGGACUGGGACACGGCCCAGACUCCUACGGUAGGCAGCAUUGGGGAAUAUGGCACAAUGGGCGCAAGCCUGAUGCAGCCAUGCCGCGUGUAUGAAGAAGGCCUUCGGGUUGUAAAGUACUUUCAGCGGGGAGGCGUUACCCGCAGAAGAAGCACCGGCUAACUCCGUGCCAGCCGCCGCGGUAAUAC